CUUCUCCUCCAGCGGCUGCUAACUGUUGCUAUGCUCCACCACCUUCUCUUUUUUUUUUUUUUCUUUUUUCUAUAUUCAUCUCAUAAGAGGAUGUCAUUCAUGAGUGUAAGAUACGAAUUUGGGUUUUGAUUUUGAUUUUUUUUUUUUUGUUUUGGUUGAAUCUGAACCUGGUUUUUGAUUGUUAGUACUGUGACAAAGAAGAAGAUGGCGGAUGUUGAGAAAUCUUUCACAAAUACGACUAACUAGUUUACCGUUAGAUCAAUUUGUAUUUUUAUUGGUUACUUCUACCGGGUUUUCUUCAUCAGAACUUGCUAGAAAAGGGAAAGAAAAAGCUUCACAAAGAAUUCGUAAUGAUGGAUCUGGGAGGAGAUGAAGUUAGGGUUUUAGAAUUCAAAUCAAAUUUUUUUCCAUGUUCUCGAUGAGUUAUUACUAUUGUUGGGAUAACUUUUUAGAUGAAUGAACUAUGUGUAAUUAAAUUUGUGUAAAAAGCUCCCAAUCUAUUGAUUGUUGGAACUGAAUAAAAUUAUUUAAAAAAAAAGGAACUGAGUAAUCGGUUUUCCAUAA